GGGCGGGGUGCCUACCAUGCAGUCGUACGAGAGUUUUUAAUUCUAGUGGCGGACGGGUGAGUAACACGUGAGAAUUUACCUUUAGGAGGGGGAUAACAAUUGGAAACGAAUGCUAAUACCCCAUAUGCUUUUGAGUGAAAUGGAUUUAUAAUUAUCCGCCUAAAGAAAAGCUCGCGGCUGAUUAGCUUGUUGGUAAGGUAAGAGCUUACCAAGGCGACGAUCAGUAUCUGGUUUGAGAGGACGAUCAGACACACUGGAACUGAGACACGGUCCAGACUCCUACGGGAGGCAGCAGUGGGGAAUUUUCCGCAAUGGGCGAAAGCCUGACGGAGCAAUACCGCGUGAGGGAAGACUGCCUAUGGGUUGUAAACCUCUUUUUUCAGGGAGGAAUAAAAUGACGUGUACCUGAAGAAUAAGCAUCGGCUAACUCCGUGCCAGCAGCCGCGGUAAGACGGAGGAUGCAAGUGUUAUCCGGAAUCACUGGGCGUAAAGCGUCUGUAGGUGGUUUAAUAAGUCAACUGUUAAAUCUUGAGGCUCAACUUCAAAACCGCAGUCGAAACUAUUAGACUAGAGUAUAGUAGAGGUAAAGGGAAUUUCCAGUGGAGCGGUGAAAUGCGUAGAUAUUGGAAAGAACACCGAUGGCGAAAGCACUUUACUGGGCUAUUACUAACACUCAGAGACGAAAGCUAGGGUAGCAAAUGGGAUUAGAUACCCCGGUAGUCCUAGCCGUAAACUAUGGAUACUAGAUGUUGAACAGAUCGACCUGUGCAGUAUCAAAGCUAACGCGUUAAGUAUCCCGCCUGGGAAGUAUGCUCGCAAGAGUGAAACUCAAAGGAAUUGACGG
rnacentral:rRNA from 1 species